GAACCAGCCAUGGCAACCAGCUCAGGUCCCCUUCCACACUGUGGAAGCUUUGUUCUUUCACUCUUUGCAAUAAAUCUUGCUGCUGCUCACUCUUCGGGUCUACACUGCCUUUAUGAGCUGUAACACCACGAAGGUCUGCAGCUUCACUCCUGAAGCCAGAGAGACCACGAACCCACCGGGAGGAACAAACAACUCCAGACGCGCCGCCUUAAGAGCUGUAACACUCACCCCGAAGGUCUGCAGCUUCACUCCUGAAGUCAGCAAGACCACGAACCCACCAGGAAGAACGAGCAACUCCAGACAUGCCACUUUAAGAGCUGUAACACCAUGAAGGUCUGCAGCUUCACUCCUGAGCCAGCAAGACCACGAACCCACCGGGAGGAACGAACAGCUCCAGACGCGCCGCCUUAAGAACUGUAACACUCGCUGCGAGGGCCCGCAGCUUCACUCCUCAUCCAGUGAGACCACAAACCCACCAGAAGGAAGCAACUCCGAAUACAUCCGAACAUCAGAAGGAACAAACUCUGGACGCGCCACCUUUAAGAACUGUAACACUCACCGUGAGGGUCCGCGGCUUCAUUCUUGAAGUCAGUGAGACCAAGAACCCACCAAUUCCAGACACAGUGUGGCAGGGAUUCUCCUCACCCUGGGCCUGGGGACGCUGGGCCCUCGCUAUUCCAGAGCGUGGCUGUGACAGGUGCGAUCCAAUCUGUCCCGUCCGGGGCCUGGGAAACUCGGCCGCCUAUCCCGCUGCUGCCCACUGCAGAGGCUGCCGGGAAAUACAGGUCCGUGGCCCGGGAGACUCGGCCGCCUAUCCCGCUGCUGCCCACACAGAGGCUGCCGGGAAAUACAGGUCCGUGGCCCGGGAGACUCGGCCGCCUAUCCCGCUGCUGCCCACGCAGAGGUUGCCGGGAAAUACAGGUCCGUGGCCCGGGAGACUCGGCCGCCUACCCCGCUGCUGCCCACGCAGAGGUUGCCGGGAAAUACAGGUCCCUGGCCCGGGAGACUCGGCCGCCUACCCCGCUGCUGCCCACGCAGAGGCUGCCGGGAAAUACAGGUCCGUGGCCUGGGAGACUCGGCCGCCUACCCCGCUGCUGCCCACGCAGAGGCUGCCGGGAAAUACAGGUCCGUGGCCUGGGAGACUCGGCCGCCUACCCCGCUGCUGCCCACGCAGAGGCUGCCGGGAAAUACAGCAGUCCUCCUGAGCAGCUUCUGACUCUCACCACUUCAUAUCAACUCUCUCGUUCUUGCUUUCCAGGCUCCUGGCUUCAUAUUCUGAAUUUUGCAUCUGCUUCUAAUACUUUUUUUUGAGACCAAGUUUCACUCUGUCACCCAGGCUGGAGUGCAAUGGCACAAUCCCGGCUCACUGCAACCUCCACCGCUUGGGCUCAAGCGAUUCUCAUGCCUCAGCCUCUGAGUAGCUGGAAUUACAGAUGCGCGCCACCACACCCAGUUUAUUUUAUUUUAUUUGUUUUAUUAGUAGACAUGGGGUUUCUCCGUGUUGGCCAGGCUGUCCUCGAACUCCUGACCUCAGGUAAUCCACCCGCCUUGGCCUCCCAAAGUGCUGGGAUUACAGGGUGAGCCACCGUGUCUAGCCUGCUUCUAAUACUUUUAAACUCGUUUGUGGGAUCCAAGCACGUCAAUCCCCCACUUGCUUCUUGUUUCUACCUUCUCUUACUGAAGUGUCUUCUGUGGUUUAAAACAAAAAGGAUUCUCUCCCUGGGGCUCACUCCUGUCACUGACACCACUCUGUCCCUACUCCAUGUCCAGUUAUUCCUGGGGCAUGUGAGAGCUCCUUCCAAAGGCCAUAUCCAACUCUCACGUGAAUUUACCACGUAUCAUCCUUCAAUCCUUGACCUUGGAAAUAAACUUGGAAUUAACUUGGAUCUCAUUUCCACUUAAAAUAGCCCUGGUGCAGUAGCUCGUGCCUGUGAUUCCAGCACUUUGGGAGACCGAGGCAGGGGAUUAUUUGAUCCCAGGAGUUUGAACCAGGCUGGGCAACAUGGUGAAACCCUGUCUCUACGAAAAAAUAACAAUUAAAAAAAUUAGCCAGGCAAGGUGGCACGCACCUCUAGUCCCAGCUACUUGAGAGGCUGAGGUGAGAGGAUCACCUGAGUCCAGAAAGUCAAAGCUACAGCCUGCUCUGUUCACACCACUGCACUCCAGGCAGGGCAACAGUGAGACCCUGUCUCAAAAACAAACAAACAAAAAAAAGAUCAAAAUAUGCUAAGCCUUUUGCCAUGAAAUCCCAGCCGUAAACUUAUUCAAAAAAAAUUAGAAAAAAUUAAUUAAAUGCAAAUGAGAUUAUUAUUAUAUUUUAAAAUAUAAGACAUAUAAAGGGAAGAUAUUGAAGACCAGGUCAAGCCACCAUAAAAUAAUCAAAAAUAAAAUAAUCAAAAGUCAACUAUGUUUCCUAUGUCAUAGAAAAACCUCUCUCAAAAGUUAGUAACUGAAAAUUGAAGACAUGCAGGAUUCUGUCAGUGUGGAAAGAAGUAAAUGAUUUCAAGAAUUGGCCCUAAUAAUAAACACAGAAAAAGAGAUCUUAGAAAGCCAUUAGGAACAACUGUAAAUACAAUAUAGUCAUAAGUAAGCCACGUUAAGUCUGUAUUUGCAUAAGUCAAACUGAUAAGAAAAUCAAAUUAUUUGGAAAAUUUUAUGUAUGAAAAAGGAGCCAAUGAGAAAAAACCAGAUUGUCGUUUGGAUCAUCUGGCUGGUCACCUGUAUUCACUGUACUAAUUGAAUAUUUUAUUUUACUUCACUCGAGUAGAUAAACCCUAGAUGAACUUAAUAAACCAAGUGAAAGAAAAAGG
rnacentral:lncRNA from 1 species